rnacentral:rRNA from 1 species
GACGAACGCUGGCGGCGUGCCUAAUACAUGCAAGUAGAACGCUGAAGGCGGAGCUUGCUCUUCUGGAUGAGUUGCGAACGGGUGAGUAACGCGUAGGUAACCUGCCUGGUAGCGGGGGAUAACUAUUGGAAACGAUAGCUAAUACCGCAUAACAGUUGCUGUUGCAUGACAUUUGCUUAAAAGGUGCAAUUGCACCACUACCAGACGGACCUGCUUGGUUUUGGUUAGUUGGUGGGGUAACGCCGCACCAAGGCGACGAUGCAUAGCCGACCGGGGAGGGUGGUCGGCCACACUGGGAGUGGGACCGGGCACAGUGUCCUACGGGAGGCAGCAGUAGGGAAUCUUCGGCAAUGGGCGGAAGUCUGACCGAGCAACGCCGCGUGAGUGAAGAAGGUUUUCGGAUCGUAAAGCUCUGUUGUAAGGGAAGAACGAGUGUGAGAGUGGAAAGUUCACACUGUGACGGUAUCUUACCAGAAAGGGACGGCUAACUACGUG